rnacentral:rRNA from 1 species
GAAGGGGGGUGAAAAGUGCAUGAAAUCUAUUACUUACAGACGUGCAUAGCAUGAAAGGUGAUUUUUCCAGAUUGGAGGUUCUAGCAAUAGAGCUAAAGAUUUGGAGCUCAAAUCGUCAGUGUUAUGCGUUCCGUCUCGAAACACGGGCCAAGGAGCUGACUGUCAUGGCAAGACUAAACCAGACAAGGUGGAGUCGAAGGGAAACCGAGUUCUCGCAGCAUUAGCGAGGAGAAGCGUGUGAAAGUGCGUUGAGUCAUGGCGGCCAGGCUAGAAGCCAGUCGAUCUAAUCCUGAGCAAGCUGAAGGCGGGCGAAAGCCCGCUGGAGGGCUGAAGCAGUUCUGACGUGCAAAUCGUUUGUGUGACUUGGGAUUAGGGGUCAAAAACCAAUCUAGACUGGCGAUUGCUAGUUCCAACCGAAGCGUCUCGUAGGGCGUCCUUAGUGGAGAUAGCGUUUCCUGUAGAGCACUGAUAAGGGAGUAUGGGGAAGAAAUUCCUCGCUCCCCAUUCAAACUCCGAAGGGAUAUGCAUUGUAGAAGCUAGGAGACGGGUUCGUGUGACGUAAGGUUCACGACCGAGAGGGGUUUAACCCAGACCGAAGUUAAGGUCCCUAAAUUUUUUCUAAGUGUCAAGCUAAAGUGUGUGUUCGCGCCAAGACAGCAGGGAGGUAAGCUCAGAAGCAGCUAUCCUUUAAAAAGUGUGUAACAACUUACCUGCCGAGCGUGGGCGCCACAAAAACGGACGGGGCUAAAGAAAAGUACCGAUACUUUGGAUACAUGCCAAUGGGCAUGUCAUGGUAGGUUGGCGUAGUGAUUGGGUCGAAGCAGGGCGGUGACGUCCUGUGGACCAUUUUCUAUUGCAGAUCUUGGCGGCAGUAACAGCAUAGUAGAGUGAGAACCUCUACCACCGCAAGCGCAAGGGUUUCCAGGCAAUGCGUUAUCAGCCUGGAGUUAGUCGAUCCUAAGGAUUACCUCAACAGAGUAAUUCGAAAGGGAAACUGGUUAAUAUUCCAGUACCUUGCAAGUUGCGUUAUUAUCUAUAUGAACCGCUUCCGGAUAGGGGGAGCAUAACCAUCGUUGUGUCUAAGCGUUCGAGAGAUGGGGAGUGUCGUAAUGACGAGAACCAUCUCGAGGCGUUAAUGGCUCUGCGUUAGCAGAGUUCUCUUGAGUCCAGGGGACCUUGAAAAUUUGUGUAGAAAGUGACUUGCAAGCUCGUACCGAGAACCGACACAGGUGCGCUGGCUUAGAAAGCUAAGGUGCUACGGGUAUACCGUAUGGUGAGGGAAUUCGGCAAAUUAGUCCUGUAGCUUAGGUAUAAGGGAUGCCUGCACACUUCAUGAGGAAUGGGGUGAGCAGGUUGCAAUGACAAGGGGGUUUCGACUGUUUAAUAAAAACACAGGCGACUGCUAGUCCGAAAGGAUUUGUAUAGUCGCUGAAUCCUGGCCGGUGCGGGUACCUAAAACUUGGGUUCAACCGAGCUAAGGGCCCGUUAACGCCGGGAGUAACUCUGACUCUCUUAAGGUAGCCAAAUGCCUUGUCGGGUAAGUUCCGACGCGCAUGAAUGGAACAACGAGAGCCCCACUGUCCCCACCUACAACCCGGUGAAGCCACAUAAGGUGGACGAACAGUCCAUCAACUUCCAUCGGGGAGAGAAGACCCCGUGGAGUUUUACUGCAGCUUGUGCUUGUAGUAUAGUA